AUGGAGGAGACAGGUUGGAGAGCCUUGCUUCUGGGCUCCUUGCUGGUUGACCGCACGGCAACGCUCUUCCUCUUACUAAAGUUGGUGCCGUGGGUUGGCUUCUGUGCGUGUCCGACGGGGAGCCUCUUCUCGGUGACAAAUCUGACCGUUUCUCAUGUGCCCAGUCGCCUGAGCAUCGGGCGUCUCAGCCAGUACGCACUCUACACGCCCCACUGGCCGCUCAGGAGGUCUGAGAUGUGUGUCCCGAGGGAUGACGGAACGCUGGUGCUAUUUUUCAUCAGGCUGUUGUGCAGGAUCCUUCCUCGUCCACUGGAUGCAAAGCACCUGCCUGGAUUGGGUGUAAAGGAUCCUGAGAGCGACAGCUUGUGACAUCCUCCUGAGUGAUGCUGAGGUGAUGCAGUCCCGUCAUCUUCAGCCUGCAAAGCCAUCUUGCCCAAGAAGCCUCAUUCCCGGGCAUCCGGCCAUACGAGAAAGGCUGCCGGGGUAGGUCUCAGUUGCAAAGAAAUGUUCCUUAAAACUCAGCUCUCAUCUCCAUGCCUCUCACUGUCUCCCAGUCUCCACAUACGCUUCUCCUUUUCUCUGUGUGUGUGGGUGUCUGUCUGUUUAGGGCCACAUCUGUGGCAUAUGGAGGUUUCCAGGCUAGGUGUUGAAUUGGAGCUGCAGCUUCCAGCCUACACCACAGUCACAGCAGAUCUGAGCCACAUCUGUGACCUACACCACAGGUCAUGGCAAUCUGGGAUCCUUAACCCACUGGGUGAGGCCAGGGAUCGAACCUGUAUCCUCAUGUAUGCUAGUCAGAUUCCACUGAGCCACGGUGGGAACUCAAUGUCCUAGUUUGCAUCUAUGAACCCCAAACUCCCCAUCCAUCCCACUCCCUCUCCGUCCCCACACCCUUGGCAACCACAAGUCUGGUCUCUGAGAGUCUGUUUCUGCUCUGUAAAUGGUUCAUUUGUGCCAUAUUUUAGAUUCCACAUAGAAGUGAUAUCAUACAGUAUUUGUCUUUCUCUUUUGGACUGACUUCACUUAGUGUGAGAAUAUCUAGUUGCAUCCACCUUGCUGCAAAUGGCAUUAUUUUCGUUUUAUGGCUGAGUAGUAUUCCAUUGUGUAUAUAUAUCACAACACCUUAAUCCAUUCCUCUGUCGAUGGACAUUUAGGUGGUUUCUGAGUCUUGGCUGUUGUGAUUCACCAUUUUUGAAGGUUCCACUGCAUUUACAGUUCUGAUAAAAUAUUGGCUCUGUCUCCUGUGCUGUACAACAUUAUAUAAGCUUCAGGUGUACAAUAAAUUGAUUCAUAAUGUUUAAAGAUUUUAUUCC
rnacentral:lncRNA from 1 species